UCUUGGUUGGUAGGCAGGGUCACGCCACACAUUUUUUAAACUAGAUACCCCAAUGAUGAUUGUGGCCAAGUUUGGUUUAAUUUGGCCCAGCAGUUUCAGAGGAGCAGAUUUUUGUAAAAGUUAACGACGACGGACGACGGACGACGACGGACGACGACGGACACCGGACGCAAAGUGAUGGGAAAAGCUCACUUGGCCCUUCGGGCCAGGUAAGCUAAAAA
rnacentral:lncRNA from 1 species